UGUAAGCGUAUACCAAAGUUGUUGCAGUUAAAACGCUCGUAGUCGGAAUUUGGCAGUUCCGGAUGUGUGCACGUCGUGUGCGCACUUCGCGGGGAUUGCUUUUGUGGUCUUGCGUAGGAUGAGGCACUUUUAUUAGUGAACGUCCUCACGCAACCACUUUUUACUGUGAGAAAAUCAGAGUGCUCAAAGCAGGCAUUUGCCGUGAAUGUAUUAGCAUGGAAUGAUAGAAUAGGACUUGGUUCUAUUUUGUUGGUUUGUUGGGACUGAGUAAUGAUUAAGAGGGACAGUUGGGGGCAUUUGUAUUUCGAUGCUAGAGGUGAAAUUCUUAGAUUACCGAAAGACAAACUGCUGCGAAAGCGUCUGCCAAGGAUGUUUUCAUUGA
rnacentral:rRNA from 1 species